AUUAAAAAAACAGCCUAAAAUGAGUCUUAUGCCAGCCAGAGUUGGUCUCUCUGGAGCUGUACUUCUUGGUCAUUGUUGGGCCUUCAGUGACCUCUAGAAGCAAGUCCCAUUCAACAACUGCCCUUCAGGUAUUGAAGACCAGAGAUCAUGUGCUCCGUGCUGAUCCAGUUACAGCAGAAAGUAUUUGCUAUGCCUCAUACGCUUCCUUGUUCAGCCGAUAAGUAAACUAAAGCAAUUCUAUUAUCUAAAACCACCUCAGCCAGAAAAGUUAGGGACUUUUGUUGUACAGCAAUGGCCUCAGCAGUAGAUUCAACAAUAGUUGUUGCAUUAACAGAGAGAAAAAGCAAGUAGCAAAGAGGCAAAGGGAAUAAAGCUUUCAUAUUGGAGAUGAAGAUCUUGACCCAUGGUCCUAGGAGAGCUGUCCGCCACAAGAUGCUGUCUUUGGGGAAAGAACCUCCUUAGUCAGUCUUAAUUUUAGAUCUCCAGUGGCUGUUCUAAGAGUCUAGAGGAGCCCUUUUGAAUUGGGGGAUGUGUAUCUAAGUGUAAAAAUCUCUGAAGUUUGGCUUCUAUCUGGGUAGUGAGAAGGACUUGGUACGGUCCCUUCCAAGGAGAUUCAAAGGCAGCCGUCCCUUUUAGUGAUUCCAUAUCAGAGAAUUUGAGGGAAAUUGGAAACAUUAGUUUGGAGAGUUGUAGCUAGAUGUUUGAGGAAACUAGAAGAUUUCAGGAUUCAGUUUGGUUUACAGAUAUGUAACAAAGCCUCAAAGGCAAUGAACACGACUAUAAUCUAAUAUCCAUAAGGUUGUGUUAUAACUUUCUGUUAAAACAGUCACUCUCAUUUCUAUCAAAAAUAAUCACGGGGCUUCCCUGGUGGCGCAGUGGUUGAGAGUCUGCCUGCCGAUGCAGGGGACACGGGUUCGUGCCCCGGUCCGGGAAGGUCCCACAGGCCGCGGAGCCUGCGCGUCCGGAGCCUGUGCUCCGCAACGGGAGAGGCCACAACAGUGAGAGGCCCGUGUACCGCAAAAAAAUAAAUAAAUAAAUAAAACAAU